CGAUGGCAAUUUUAUCCACGGAUCCGGGUAUCCACGGAUAUUCGACCCGCCGGGCACGGGUAUGGAGGGUUGAUUGUGUCCAUGGAUUUCAUGGGACGGAUAUCCGAUAAUUCAUGGAGCGGGCACGGACAGAGCUUUUGAUCCAUGGAUAUUCGAUGGAUAUCCAACUGACAUGUAGGACUUGUCACUUCAGUAGCAUCGGUGUGUGUCUUUAGUGCUAGCGGGAGAUUAAUUAGUGCACAUCGUAGUCGACUUGCAGAAAAAAUAGCAUAAGCUCUUAUGUGUAUGCAAUCAUGGUCUCGAGCGGUCAUGUUAGGUGAGAUUCAUGGUGAUCUCCUUGCUGUCCAGAAUGUUCUUGAAGAUGAACAAGAAGAAAUGGAUUCCAAUGAAUCCAUUGUCACUGAAGAAUGAAUGAAUAAGGCUAUAAUGAUCCAAGAUUCAACUCAACCUUUCUACUAUCUUUUGCUAUAUAGCUUUAACGCAUUAGAUGUUGUAUUGGAAUCUUGAAAUAAAAAGCAUUGUCUAUAUAUGUUCCGUGAGAUUGAAAUGAGACAUCUA